AUGGUAUAACGGUAAAACGGUACUUUAAGAUUGUGGGAUGGGCUUCAAAGUAGCUGGGCCUUCUCUUCGCUUAAGGAGUUCCGGGAACUUUUGGGAAUUCCGGCAACUUGGGAAGUUGAGGCAUCGUCGGUAGCUCUGGCUUUGGAAUCUCUGGAACUGCAGGUUUUGUAAUUUCUGGAACCUUGGGCAGUUCAGGUUUUGGAACUUCUGGAAUCUUCGGCAGUUCAGGCUUUGGAAUCUCUGGAAACUUAGGAGCCUCAGACUUUGGAACCUCUGGAACCGUUGGCAAUUCGGGCUUUGGAACCUCUGGCACCUUCGGCAACUCAGGCUUCUGAAUCUCCGGCAUCUUGGGCAACUCGGGUUUCUGAAUCUCCGGCAUCUUAGGUAACUCCGGCAUUUUGGGCAACUCCGGCUUCUGGAUCUCCGGUACCUUAGGAGCCUCAAGCUUGGGAACUUCUGGCAACUUUGGCAACUCAGGUUUCUGAAUCUCCGGCAUCUUAGGUAACUCCGGCAUUUUGGGCAACUCCGGCUUCUGGAUCUCUGGUACCUUAGGAGCCUCAAGCUUGGGAACUUCUGGCAACUUUGGCAACUCAGGCUUUGGAAUCUCUGGCACCUUAGGAGCCUCAGGCUUUUCAGUCUCCAUUAGCUUAGGCACCUCAGGCUUUGAAUUCUCUGGAAACUUUGGCAAAUCAGGCUUUGGAAUCUCUGGAAACUUUGGUAAUUCAGGCUUUGGAAUCUCCGGCAUUUUUGGUAACUCGGGCUUCUGAAUCUCCGGUACCUUUGGUAACUCAG
rnacentral:lncRNA from 1 species